rnacentral:rRNA from 1 species
GGGUACUACGAGCAUAAGCUUAAAACCCAAAGGACUUGGCGGUGCUUUAUAUCCCUCUAGAGGAGCCUGUUCUAGAACCGAUAACCCCCGUUCAACCUCACCUUCUCUUGCCUUUCCCGCCUAUAUACCGCCGUCGUCAGCAUACCCUGUGAAGGAACCACAGUGUGCACAAUUGGCAAAGCCUAAAACGCCAGGUCGAGGUGUAGCAUAUGAGAAGGGAAGAAAUGGGCUACAUUUCCUUUUUCAGGAAAUACGGAUUGUGUUAUGAAAUUAACACAUGAAGGAGGAUUUAGCAGUAAGUAAGAAGUAGAGCGUCUCACUGAACCCGGCCCUGAAGCGCGCACACACCGCCCGUCACUCUCCCCGAGCCACAAAUACCUAUUUUUAAUGAAUAAAGCCGGCAAAGGGGAGGCAAGUCGUAACAUGGUAAGUGUACCGGAAGGUGCACUUGGAAAAAC